AUAAAUUCAAAUAAACAUUGUAGAAUGUAUUAUUAUAGGUGUAGCUUUUAUCUAACGACAUACGAAAUACUUAAGAUAGUAUAUCCUUGGAGUAAUAGUUAUUUUUAUUUCAGUUUUUGUGUGACUGAGGGAGUUAAUCGAUUUGGCCAAUGAAAAUAAAAAAUAAUUAUAAUACCAUGGAAUUCGAUCUUCAAAAUACUUUUUAUAAUAAGUUAAUGCAGUAUAUAUUUCAAAUGUUAAGCGAAAGUUUGGUUGCUAGAUAAGAACAAGGCCGAGUGUAGAGUUAAGGUUGGUUCCCACUAUCCGCCACGGAAGCGGAAUGGUCAAACACCGCCACAAAUAAAUGUGGGGAAAAUUCCACUCCCGGGUUCCCCCAGUUGUGGUAAGCUUCACUUUCCCCGAGAUUCUUAGCGCUGUUCCUAUAAGUGUAAAACAAAGUGGACGCUAAGCGAUGAAAGGCACUCGUUGUUUACAAAAUGAUGUUAACAGCCGCAGUAAAUGAGGAAACAAACAAAAUUGAGGAAGGUAAAAUGUUGGAUGGAAAAUGUUUAUAAGAAGAAAUAUGAACAAUGUUUUUAUGCAAUUUUGAUUAAAGAGACGAUAUUUAAUGAUAAAGAAUCCCGCCAUCUUAGUCGAGGUUGUCAACAAUUCAAUGUCACAAAAUGCGUGUAUUUCGUUGAUGGAUUUUACUGCCACGGAAAAGU
rnacentral:lncRNA from 1 species